CUAAGAGCACAACCACACAGGCAGACUACACUGUACAGCCAUCAAGACUAUAUAGUAGAAUAGUCAAAUAUCAAGUCCUGAAAACUGAAAGUUCAAAUCAUGUUCCGGAGGUUCACUGCUCAUUUUGUUCUCGUCUUCGUCUUCGUGAUCUGUUCAAUUAUUGGUAUGGCAACAGGAGCUCGUCACCUUUGUUUCAAGGAACCUUUCAAUUGCCAUAGAAACCCCCAUACCCCUUGCUGUCACCCCCCUGCCCCCACCCCUGUGCUUGUCACAGAACCCCCAACUUUGCCUCUUUAAUGGCUGUGGGUUGCAUAGGGAGGAAGGGGGAAGGAGGAGGGAGGAGGGAGGAAGGAGGU